GGGGAAUAUUGGACAAUGGGCGAAAGCCUGAUCCAGCCAUGCCGCGUGUGUGAAGAAGGCCUUUUGGUUGUAAAGCACUUUAAGCGAGGAGGAGGCUACUUGGAUUAAUACUCUAGGAUAGUGGACGUUACUCGCAGAAUAAGCACCGGCUAACUCUGUGCCAGCAGCCGCGGUAAUACAGAGGGUGCGAGCGUUAAUCGGAUUUACUGGGCGUAAAGCGUGCGUAGGCGGCUUUUUAAGUCGGAUGUGAAAUCCCUGAGCUUAACUUAGGAAUUGCAUUCGAUACUGGGAAGCUAGAGUAUGGGAGAGGAUGGUAGAAUUCCAAGUGUAGCGGUGAAAUGCGUAGAGAUCUGGAGGAAUACCGAUGGCGAAGGCAGCCAUCUGGCCUAAUACUGACGCUGAGGUACGAAAGCAUGGGGAGCAAACAGGAUUAGAUACCCUGGUAGUCCAUGCCGUAAACGAUGUCUACUAGCCGUUGGGGCCUUUGAGGCUUUAGUGGCGCAGCUAACGCGAUAAGUAGACCGCCUGGGGAGUACGGUCGCAAGACUA
rnacentral:rRNA from 1 species